CCCCCUUUUUUAACAAAACAUGUCUUAAUGUAAAAAUAUUUAUUAAGUCUGGUCUGCUCAAUGAUUAAUAAAUUAAAUAGCCGCAGUAUUUUGACUGUGCGAAGGUAGCAUAAUCAUUUGUCUUUUAAUUGAAGGCUUGUAUGAAUGGCUGGAUGAGGGAAUAUCUUUCUUUAUAUUAGAUACUGAAAUUAAUUUUUUAGUUAAAAAGCUAAAAUUUUUAAGUGGGACGAGAAGACCCUGUAGAAUUUUAUUUAUAUUGGAUUAUUUAAUUUAUGGUUAUUUUUUUAAAUAAUUAAUUAUAAAUUUUGUUGGGGUGACAUUGAGAUUUAAUUAACUCUCAUAAUUAAUGGAGUAAUUAUUUUUAUUUUAAAGAUCCUUUAAUAAAGAUGAUUAGAUUAAAUUACCUCAGGGAUAACAGCGUAAUUCUUCUGGAGAGUUCUUAUCAAUAGAGGAGUUUGCGACCUCGAUGUUGGAUUAAAAUUAGAUUUAAGUGCAGAAGCUUAUUAUUUUCUAGGUCUGUUCGACCUUUAAAGUUUUACAUGACUAGGUUUCAACCCG
rnacentral:rRNA from 1 species